rnacentral:rRNA from 1 species
UACCCGCAGCACAAGUGGUGGUCAUUAUUAUUGGGCCUAAAGCGUCCGUAGCUUGCCUGUUAGAUGCCUGGGUAAAUCGAUGCGCUCAACGUAUCGAACUCCGGGUAGACCGGCAGGCUUGGGACCGGGAGAGAUGUGAGCUACUCGAGGGGUAGGGGUAAAAUCCUGUAGUCCUUCGGGGAGGACCAGUGGCGAAGGCGUCACAUUAGAACGGCUCCGACAGUGAGGGACGAAGCCCUGGGGCGCAAACCGG